GAGAUGGCUGAUGCUGGAAGCUCUAGUAGGCAUUGGCCGCCUGGUUACCAGCAGUGGGAGCAGGCGGAGUCACCCUCCCUGUUGUCUAAGUGCUUCCUAGACAACAGGAGGCUGCACCCCCUGACUGAGUUCAGGCAGGAGCUGAACCACUGGAGUGGAAGCUCCAGCAGUGGUGGAGUCUCCUAGCACAGGCGCCACCUCUGAAGUUUCCGAUGCAUCAACAUCAGCCUGGGGAUCACAUCCUCAUCAAAACGUGGAAAGAGGAAAAACUUGAGCUGGCCUGGGAAGGGCCUUACCUGGUACUUCUAACUACUGAAACUGCAGUCCAGACAGCAGGAAAAGGAUGGACCCUUCACACCCAAGUCAAAUUUUCAUACUUUCAUGCAUCAAAAGAUGUAUAUGGCUAGUGGAAGAGAAAAAAAGUAAACUACAAAGAAGGAUGGGUCAAAAGAUAAAGAUAACUGCCUAACAAAUGUGUAUGUCUUUAUCAUGAUCUUAAUAAAACUUACAAUGUAGAUAACAUGUAAUAUAGAAUUGUCAUAAUGCAAUUACUAUGGUUGAAAAUACUAUGAUUUCUUGCCUGAAACCAUGACUCUUACUUUCCAUCUCUUUGUGAAGUUCCACUUCACAUAUACACACAAUCUCAAUACUUACUCAAACAUAUCAAAGAUACAACACUGCUGCUACUGCUACUAUUUAUAAGUUUACUGUUCCUACAUUAUUUUUCCAUCUAGUGUUUCAGUUAAUCUUGUCAACAACUCAAGUAAAAAUGAUAAAUCUCACAAGUUCAAAAAUUAGGAGUAAAAAGUAUAUGUAUUCAUAAAUGAGAAUUGUGAUAUUCUAGUUGGAUUUUAUAUAAAACUUUAGAAGAUAGCUUGUGAUUUAAAUAACACAAUCAAUAGACUUGUAAAGCUGUACAAUACCUAAAAACUGAAUAAACAACAUGGAUUUCCAGAGUGUCAAAUGACGUGGAUGAAAAUUUUUGGCUUACGUGAAUUUUAGUUGACCAAAGAAGGGAGUGAGCCUUUUUCUUUUUUUUCUUUUUUUUUUUUUUUUUGAGAAAGAGUCUCACUCUGUCGCCCAGGCUGGAGUGCAGUGGCACAAUCUUGGCAGGAGUGAGCCCUUUUUAAUUAUCAGGAGCCAUGCCAGUAACUUCGAGGGAAUAUGAGUAUUGUUUGUGCUGCAGAAUGUCUAUAAUAUGUACGAGGGUUGUUUGAGGAGUCAGCAUGUUGAUGUUUCAUUGUAAAACAUAGGGAUUGAAUAGAAGAGAGAAAGCUAACAAUCUGAAUGUCUACAAAACCAAUCCAGUUUUUGAAAAUGGAAACUAUGCUAAGAUAUAUGUGUCCUCUGAUGAGCCAAAUUUCAGUUAUUUGUUACACUCUGCUUAUUGUAGAAUUUGGAUGAUCCAUUGACACUAGCUGAGGAUCCUUCCAGCUAGAACUUUAUUGAAGUAAACUAUCAGGGAACCUGCCCCAAUAGUCACGUAGGUUCUUUUCUAUUUUCCCUAAGCAUCGGCCGGUUUGAGAAAUAAAGGGACAGAGUACAAAAGAGAGAAAUUUUAGAGCUGGGCGUCCGGAGGAGACAUCACAUGUUGGUAGGUUCCGUGAUGCCCCACAAGCCGCAAAAACCAGCAAGUUUUUAUUAGGGAUUUUCAAAAGGGGAGGGAGUGUGCAAAUAGGUGUGGGUCACAGACAUCAAGUACUUCACAAGAUAAUAGAAUAUCACAAGGCAAAUGGAGGCAGGGUGAGAUCACAGGACCACAGGACCGGGGCGAAAUUAAAAUUGCUAAUGAAGUUUCGGGCACCACUGUCAUUGAUAACAUCUUAUCAGGAGACAGGGUUUUGAGAGCAACUGGUCUGACCAAAAUUUAUUAGACGGGAAUUUCCUCUUCCUAAUAAGCCUGGGAGUGCUAUGGGAGACUGGGGUCUAUUUCACCCCUACAGUCUACAGACCAUAGAAAAUGACCACACCCAGGGGGGCCAUCUAUAGACCUACCCCCAGGCACAUAUUCUCUUUCCCAGGGAUGUUCCUUGUUGAGAAAAAGAAUUCAGUGAUAUUUCUCCCAUUUGCUUUUGAAAGAAGAGAAAUAUGGCUCUGUUCUGCCCGGCUCACUGGCAGUCACAGUUUAAGGUUAUCUCUCUUGUUUCCUAAACAUUGCUGUUAUCUUGUUCUUUUUUCAAGGUGCCCAGAUUUCAUAUUGUUCAAACACACAUGCUCUACAAUUUGUGCAGUUAAUGCAAUUAUCACAGGGUCCUGAGGGGCAUACAUCCUCCUCGGCUUACGAGAUGACAGGAUUAAGAGAUUAAAGUAAAGACAGGCAUAGGAAAUCACAAGGGUAUUGAUUGAGGAAGUUAUAAGUGUCCAUGAAAUCUUCACAAUUUAUGUUUAGAGAUUGCAGUAAAGACAGGCAUAAGAAAUUAUAAAAGUAUUAAUUUGGGGAACUAAUAAAUGUCCAUGAAAUCUUCACAAUCCACAUUCUUCUGCCAUGGCUUCAGCCAGUCCCUCCAUUUGGGGUCCCUGACUUCCUGCAACAGUAAACAGCAAUAAGAAAAUUCUUCCUGAUUAAAUCAUGAUCAUUACUGACAUCAAAAUACUGGCUUCCAAAAAUUAGAACUUGAAGCAAUACCAUCUUGAAAUACUUACUUGUACUCCUAAUCAUUCUCUACACCAGGAUGAAUUUGGUGUGUCUUUCCAAAAAGAAAGCAUUUCUACAAUUUCAUCCUUAUUUUGACUAAAGAAUAGAAAUAAAGACAAUAUUAAACAUCUCUACAUUGUUUUUGUUAAUAUAUUAAUAGAGAAAAAAAUUGGGGGAAUGGUAAAAGAAGGCUAACGCAUGUUUUCUUUUCCAUUGUUUUGGUAGUCACAAACCUUAGGGAAAAAAACUGAUUUUACAACGCCUUUUUUCUUUGUUUGUUUUCUUUCCUAGAGGGCAUAUGCACCCAGGUAAGAAUAAACUAAAUUCUUUGGUCCAGGACCCAAAGUAUCACAAAAUAUUUGUUUUUAAAUGUUUAUUACACAUGAGCUUUUGCACAAGGCAUUGUAUAUGUAUUAUUUAGUUUGAUUGUACAACUGUAAGAUAUCAUAUUUAAUUCAUAGGUGCAGGAUCUGAAGCCAGAGGAAUCAUAUGAUAGUAUACCAUAAAGAAAUUAAAGCCCACUUUGUCUUUAUUUGAAAACUCCUGCUGCCUGAAUGAUUCUCUAGUCCCAGCGUCACAAUUAUCUGUUGUCUACAAAAACUGCAAUCCCAGCUGUCUGAAAUCACACUGCCUGGGCCGAAUGCCAGAGCACACACCCAUGUUUUGGACCUCUUUUUUUUUUAUUGUUAUUUUUUACAAUGCAAAUACAGUUGACCCUUGAAGAAUGCAGUGUUAGGGAUACUGACCUCUAGUGCAGUUGAAAAUUUGUCUAUACCUUUUGAUUUUCAAGAAACUUGUUUACUAACAGCUUACUGUUGACUGGAAGCCUUACCAAUAACAGCCAAUUGACAUAUAUUGUAUAUGUUAUGUGUGUUUUAU
rnacentral:lncRNA from 10 species